rnacentral:rRNA from 1 species
CAGCCGCCACGGUAAUACGGAGGGUGCAAGCGUUAAUCGGAAUUACUGGGCGUAAAGCGCACGCAGGCGGUCUGACAAGUCAGAUGUGAAAUCCCCGGGCUUAACCUGGGAACUGCAUUUGAAACUGUCAGGCUGGAGUCUUGUAGAGGGGGGUGGAAUUCCAGGUGUAGCGGUGAAAUGCGUAGAGAUCUGGAGGAAUACCGGUGGCGAAGGCGGCCCCUUGGACAAAGACUGACGCUCAGGUGCGAAAGCGUGGGGAGCAAACAGGAUUAGAUACCCCAGUAGUCCCUGUCUCUUAUAC